rnacentral:rRNA from 1 species
CAGCAGCCGCGGUAAUACGAAGGGUGCAAGCGUUACUCGGAAUUACUGGGCGUAAAGCGUGCGUAGGUGGUGGUUUAAGUCCGUUGUGAAAGCCCUGGGCUCAACCUGGGAAUUGCAGUGGAUACUGGGUCACUAGAGUGUGGUAGAGGUUAGUGGAAUUUCCGGUGUAGCAGUGAAAUGCGUAGAGAUCGGGAGGAACAUCAGUGGCGAAGGCGGCCAUCUGGGACAACACUGACGCUGAGGCACGAAAGCGUGGGGAGCAAACAGGAUUAGAUACCCCAGUAGCCCUGUCUCUUAUACA